GUAGGUGGCAAGCGUUGUCCGGAUUUAUUGGGCGUAAAGGGAGCGCAGGCGGUCUUUUAAGUCUGAAUGUGAAAGCCCUCAGCUUAACUGAGGAAGCGCAUCGGAAACUGAGAGACUUGAGUGCAGAAGAGGAGAGUGGAACUCCAUGUGUAGCGGUGAAAUGCGUAGAUAUAUGGAAGAACACCAGUGGCGAAGGCGGCUCUCUGGUCUGUAACUGACGCUGAGGUUCGAAAGCAUGGGUAGCGAACAGGAUUAGAUACCCUGGUAGUCCAUGCCGUAAACGAUGAGUGCUAAGUGUUGGGAGGUUUCCGCCUCUCAGUGCUGCAGCUAACGCAUUAAGCACUCCGCCUGGGGAGUACGACCGCAAGGUUG
rnacentral:rRNA from 1 species